AUUGCCCUAGUAACGGCGAGUGAAGCGGCAAUAGCUCAAAUUUGAAAUCUGGCCCUCGUGGUCCGAGUUGUAAUUUGUAGAGGAUGCUUUUGGUGCGGUGCCUUCCGAGUUCCCUGGAACGGGACGCCAGAGAGGGUGAGAGCCCCGUACGGUUGGACGCCUAACCUAUAUAUAGCUCCUUCGACGAGUCGAGUAGUUUGGGAAUGCUGCUCUAAACGGGAGGUAAAUUUCUUCUAAAGCUAAAUACCGGCCAGAGACCGAUAGCGCACAAGUAGAGUGAUCGAAAGAUGAAAAGCACUUUGAAAAGAGGGUUAAAUAGCACGUGAAAUUGUUGAAAGGGAAGCGUUUGCGACCAGACCUUUUCCAGUGAGAUCAUCCGGUGUUCGCACCGGCGCACUCUCCCUGGAUUAGGCCAGCAUCGGUUUUCUUAGGGGGACAAAGGCUUGGGGAACGUAGCUCUUCAGGGAGUGUUAUAGCCCCUCGCGUAAUACCCCUCGGGGGACCGAGGACCGCGCUCUGCAAGGAUGCUGGCGUAAUGGUCGUCAACGACCCGUCUUGAAACACGGACCAAGGAGUCGAACAUUUGUGCGAGUGUUUGGGUGUUAAACCCUCACGCGUAAUGAAAGUGAACGGAGGUGAGAGCCCUCACGGGUGCAUCAUCGACCGAUCCUGAUGUCUUCGGAUGGAUUUGAGUAAGAGCAUAACUGUUCGGACCCGAAAGAUGGUGAACUAUGCGUGGAUAGGGUGAAGCCAGAGGAAACUCUGGUGGAGGCUCGCAGCGGUUCUGACGUGCAAAUCGAUCGUCAAAUCUGCGCAUGGGGGCGAAAGACUUAUCGAACCAUCUAGUAGCUGGUUACCGCCGAAGUUUCCCUCAGGAUAGCAGUGUUGUCUUCAGUUUUAUGAGGUAAAGCGAAUGAUUAGGGACUCGGGGGCGCUAUAUUGCCUUCAUCCAUUCUCAAACUUUAAAUAUGUAAGAAGCCCUUGUUACUUAGUUGAACGUGGGCAUUCGAAUGUACCAACACUAGUGGGCCAUUUUUGGUAAGCAGAACUGGCGAUGCGGGAUGAACCGAACGCGGGGUUAAGGUGCCAGAGUGGACGCUCAUCAGACACCACAAAAGGUGUUAGUACAUCCUGACAGCAGGUAAGCCUAUAUUUUCUUAUUUUUUUCUCCCUAUUUUAUUUCAUUUCAUCUCAAUAAACGUACGCCUCUGGGGGCUCGUGGGGUUGCUCUUGCUAUACAUUGGAUUGUUUUGUUUUUAUUAAUUAAUGCGAUUUAUACUAACUUAUUAUCUUCAGGACGGUGGCCAUGGAAGUCGGAAUCCGCUAAGGACUGUGUAACAACUCACCUGCCGAAUGUACUAGCCCUGAAAAUGGAUGGCGCUCAAGCGUCUCACCCAUACCUCGCCCUUAGGGUAGAAACGAUGCCCUAAGGAGUAGGCGGCCGUGGGGGUCAGUGACGAAG
rnacentral:rRNA from 1 species